ensembl:lncRNA
GAGAAUGAGCCUGUGAUGUCGGCAUAGGGAGAGGGUCGUCAUACGGAGUCCGCUGUGAUGCAUCACCAUGUCGCUACAGUAGCCCAGAGCGGACAAACAGUAGCGAUAUGACCUCGGCUUGGAAACUGCCAGCUGUUUCAUGAUUAAUUGAAAAAAAUUAUUCACCUUUCUGUCAAUAAUGAAAUGAACAGUUAGGUAUACUACAGCAAUUACACCAGUAAAGGACAAGUACCCCACAAUUGCACUGAGGUAUAGUACUUCAUUAGGUGUGCUCAGUUAUCCUACAGACUGCAGUAUGCAGUGGCGACGAAUAAUUAACAUAAAUAAACAAGAGCGAAACAAACCCCAGCCAAUGUCAUGCCCUUCAGAUCGUCUUUUCCAUUGUCCUUUCAGUUGUCAAUUAAGACGGACGCAAAACAAAUGGUGAGAUGUGUGGCCAAACUGAAGACACAAAUUAAAAUUCCACUCACCCCUUGCAUGGUUAUGGUGCAAAUAACCCAACAUAAAGAAACUUAACAACAGCAAGCAUGCAUCCUGAUUUCCACAGUGGGGAGGGCUCAUAUUGUGUUCCUCCCCUGACCACACGGUGGCGUCCGUCCUCACUGACUCCAUGACCUCAGCACCACUGAUGAGCUGAAUGGAGAGAAUCCUCUUUAACAGGUUGGAGUUAAACUCUAAUCUUGACAAUCUCUUUUCACCCUUCAUGUGAAAACCAUAAGUCAGUCACAAUAGGGCAAACACAUCUGGCUAAACCGUUCUCAAGUAAACAAGAGGAACAAAAGGAUAUACAAAUAAGCCGCCGUGUUCAUAAUAACACAACCUCUUUGUCCAGAGACAGCAUGUUCUUUACUGAACAUAACAUGUAUUUUUCCCCCAGAAAGCUGCAUUUAGUGCACCACAUUGUGGAACUUGUCCUAUGAAAUAUUGAAGAAAGCCUUUCAUUUUCAGGUACUGAUGCCGCCUUUGCAGAGCUAAAUGUCUGUGUCCCCAGUGUUCCCUUUUGGUUGGUCAGUGUAGGAUUGCUGUUGACAAUUUUGUAUUUAGGUCAGUGUGGCCCCCUUAGGGUCUGACAAACCACUUUUUCCCUGAGUCCCCAUGAUUGACACAUUUUCUUAUGUCAAAUGAAGUCCUGCUCCUCCGGUUUUAAAUUCUUGAUGAGUAACAUGUUAUAAAAUACAAGACUAAAUGCUGAGGUGCACUCUCAUUUAGAUGAGAUCCCUCGAUACCAUUUGGUUAUUCCCUGUAUAGAUAGCAUUGAUAGUAUUAAUAAAAACAAUGAGAAUUACAUUAUAAUUAUCUUGCAAACAUCUCUCCAUUCCCUGAAUUGUAAUCCCAUCUCUCCAUAAUACACUACAAACAGACUUUUGUCUCCUCGGAGACAAUUUGGAGAUGUUGUUUUGCAUAGAGGGCAGACGCACGAGAUGACUACCUGUUGUCCUCCGUGCUGCCUCUCAUCUCCACCACUCCUAGACAGCGUGGCAGCCUGGCAAAACACAGAAUUACCAGGCCAUCCUCUAAGAACAUAAUGCCUGUCUUAGACACCGGGCAUCUGUUGGCAUUUGCUGGGUACGGGGCGGAGGGGGAGGGUGAGGUGAGGAUGACGAAGGGAGGGAGCUUCAGGCCGGGAUUAUGGGGGAGCUGUGAAGGGGGUGAAGAGAAGGAGAGGAGAUGACCUGACCACAUGCUUAAUCCGUAAAGCGCUUUUCUUCCAUGCUGGCCCCGAGCCCUGGACAGCAAGUUCAGGUCAAACCCGGGUGCCCCACUGGGCAGUGCCCCGUGCUGCAAUCAACAGCCAUUGUGAUUUGCUGGUUUGGCCAAUUGGCCCCGUCCAGGAACUGCAUUCUUCUGAUUUCUUGCCAUCAGAUGUUGUAGAUGUUCUUUGGCCACAUCUUAAUGUGACACAUACAUUGCACAUUCAACUUCGUUGUGCUUUUGAAUGUACUGUUUCUGUAAUUUGAGGUGACCCUGCUAAACACAUCGUGAAGCCCUGUUUUCCCUUCCUGGGUCAUGUUAGCCAGAACUGCUCCUCCAUAGUCUCGCUGAAAUCCUCCCGGUACGAAUCUGUUCUGAUUGACAAGCACCGAUGAUUCAAUUAACACAACCUGUGGCAAUACGCGGCCCAGCUAUGAACAUGAGCCAUUGAGGUUCCACAUCCCCAUGCUCCCCCGGGAUGCACAAGAGAUUAUUUUGGAGGACCAGACAGGUGCCACUGUCAGACGUUCUCUGUUCACCCUGACUGCACAAUUGGGUUUACCAGGCCCGACGGUUCCCCCCACCCCUCCAAUCCAACUCACUACAAAGUGGUGAUCAGUCGGCUCCAGCCUUCAUCACUGCAUACAGGACAUAUGGCCGCAGGUCUCAUGCUGUGACCACAAAGUUUGUGUCUCGUACCAAGAAUUAAUAUGAAUCACACAUUGCUUGAACGUGGUGUUAGUUAUGACCCAUCGCUGACCAGCACAGAAGUCCACUCAGGUUCAGGUCAUCAUCCCUCUCCCCCCGGGGUCUUGGUGUGACCCCUCUCCUUGGAUCACUUUGCAGCCCUCAGGGUCACAGUACAACACAGUCACAAAACCUCUGUUUUUUUGGAUCCAAUUAUUAAAAGCUGAUUCCAAAACAUGAUUUUCAUUCAUACCCUGAAUAAACUUUAGGCACAAUGAUAACUGCAUAUUUCUUCACCUCAUUUGAUUUUUUCAAAUAAAUAUUCAAAGUUGUUAUAUUAGUGAAUAUUUUCUGCCAAUGAUAAGUUAAUGGAAGAUAGUCGGAGGAUAAAGGCCCCAAGAAACGCAUGUUAAAAUAACAUUAGGUAAUGCUUUCAUGCAGUUCAAGGAUUAUUUUUUGCAACCAAUUUGCCGUCAGAAUAAUGAUUUACAGUAACACUGUGUACUGGGGAAACACGGCAUCAAGAACGAUAUGCAGGUAUUGUAUGGACAAUACUACGCUGCAUUCUCCAGACUUAAAACCCAUUUUCAAGGACAAUCUUGUCAUAGUUCCUCCGUAAAUCUAAGCAGCUACGCCUGACAUGACUAACUAACAGUUAACUGGAUGAUUGUUGUGAGAUCGCAACAUAGCACGUCGCAAGAAUCAAGCUAAGACGGGCUGUUGCCGUUGGUCUGGUGCAUUAAGCUCACACGCAGCGUAUGAAUGCCCCCCCUCCGCCCAGAGAGUACAAUGUUUUGUGCAAGGUGACUUCCAACUCCUGACAGGCUUUCUGUCCAGUAAACGUUGAAGGUGCCCUGGGGCAGAGUGCCAGCACCGAGGCCAGAUGGGAGAUUCAGUCUCUACCUGCCACCCCCUCCCACCCAGCCGGUGCCAGUCCCCUGACACCCCCUUCCUCCAUCUGUGCCGACCUGCCCCUAGCUGUCAACAGUUCAAGAGCGGGUUGUGGCAUUUCCCACCCGUGCGUGGCAGCCGACUACACAGCUGUGCAGAUGUUGUCUACUGCGAGGCCUAACAUCUGUGCGCCCUGUGGGAACACUUUGCUAAGAAGCGGGUCGCUGUGAUACUGUGUCAAGUUUUCUUGACGUCCUGUGUGGAAUCAUCAGCCCUGCACGAUCGAACGAGGCUCCACCAUGGCAUUAUACUUCGUCAGUUGCAAAAAUAUGUUAUGGGGAUUAAACCGAGAUUAAGACCCUGAAGAGUAAAUAGAUUGACAUCUACUAAGUAGAUCACAGUGAUGUGAUACUGAAAACAACCAGAUCAUAGGUUACACAACGCAUAAUCACAAAAUCAUUGUUUUUUUAAUCUGCAUCCCAUGUAUGUUGUUUUCAGCAUUAGUGGCAGUGUAAAGAUUUUUAAGUGACUACUCUGUUGUGUUCCUGGGUGUUGUGUGGAUGCUGAUUGUCCUGUCACUGGAUGCCCUCCCCCACCUCACGCCCUUUAUGCUGCUUGAUGCAGUCCGUGUCAGGCCAGUUUUUGCAAAGAAGAACACAUGAAAUCUUCUCUGCCGAGCCAUCAAGAUCAACAUUUAGUGAACCAACUGACUUUAAAUAGCUAGCAAACAUUGUAAUGUAAUGAUUAACACAUAGCUGAAAGUUCACAAAUUUCCUUUGUUUUUUUACAGCCUACUUAUUAGGUCUCGGCGGCAUGCAAAUGUAUUUACCAAAAUUGGGUAUGUAAGCAUGUAUCUGGAUUUACUAAACUUUGAUUAGGAUUAAUCUUAAUCAUUUUUGAUGCAAUGGGAUACACUGGGAUGCCGAGUGUUAAAUUUCUGCUAUAUUACCUAAAAGCAUGAUGCCUUAACUAAAAUCAUUUUCAAAAUCCAUUAUUGAUUUGAUACUGUUGCUACUAUUUAUUUGAUACUAUUGCUAGCCACUUCUCUUUUGUCCUUCUGGUUUUAAGGCUAGGGGUGGUCAAAUGUACAAGCAAAGUUCUAUUCAGGUUAUAUUAAAUUAGUAAAUUUACCUUUAAAAAAUCUCAAAGUCGGUAGCAUUUCUACCUAUUAAGGUUCACUUUAAACAGUGCCAGUUUUUGUGGAUUAACACUCAAAAGAUAUAAACCGAAUAAACGCACAUCAAAGUGUUAUGAAUCAGUGCCUCCGUAAUCAUACCAGUUGCCAGUUGUGAAUCAUGCUUUGUAAUCCCCGGAAUCCUCGACCUACCUCUGGAUGACCCUGCAGGCCACUCAAUCAGGGCUGGACAGGAGUGCACUGAGCCCAGAGAUGCAAAGUAGUCAAUGAGUGUGAUCAAUAUAUAGAUUCACUAAGGUUGCCCAUCAAGGUCCUGGGCUCUGUCCAUUCAAUUAGUCACUGCCUUACAAGGCAACGUGUAGGUGAUUAUGGAACCAAUGAGGGAAAAUUAGUGUUUUUUUCAGCCAUGUUACCAUUCUAAAGACAUGAAGUUAUUCCUCGGUUGCUAAAAAGAACAACCACGCAUAUUUGGACUACUGCAGCCCUGUGUCUGUGGAAGUGUUGAAUCAUUUGUGAAGGCCUCUUCUGGAGUAGAUUGUCUUUCCAAUUAUUAAUCAAAAAUCAAAAAGACAACAAAUGUGUUGAAGCGUGUUAAAGCACUGAAAGCGCCCAGUAGUUCAGAGUUUGUUUUGUAGGAUACAGGAUUAGAAAUAGGCGACAUUACAACGUGUUCAACAUCAUUUUUUCUUUUGGAUUUCUCAUGAUUGACAGGUUAUUAUGACACAAGGAAGCCAGGCUGUAUAGAACUCUAUGGGGAAAUGACUUGUCUUCUUACUUGAUUUAUUCCCUCAACAAACAGUAAAAAAGAGUUUAUGGUCUCAAUCUCUAGUUUUAUGUCUUUUUCAACACAGCAUGAUGUUUAUUUAGGGAAUUAUGGUCCAAUUAGAGUCAGAUCGACCAUAAAGCAAAGCAUAAUUAUGGGUAACUGGGGAUUGACAGGUCUGUUCUGGGGCAUUACAACAAUAAACCCUUGCACAUCAUUCAUAACGUUAACAUUUUAAUUAUUAACAUUUAAAAUCAUCCAAAAUUCAAACAUUUUCUUGUCGUUUUUAUCUGAUUAAAAAUUCUGCUUCGAUCAAUAUUUGUGGACUUUUAUCCUUUUGAAUACCCAAAGGCAGGCAUGCACCUGUAUCAAUGGGGCUGUCCAGCAGCUAUUUUGGACAUAACAUAAAUUACUGGACAUGGAUUUAGCCACAAUAUAGAGAAAUCCUAAUGCUCCCAUCUUUUAAGGCAUUCAUCCUGAAUGUGAUCACUAACAUUCAAAGCCUCAUUCGAAAACCCCCAAGAGAAGUUUAAAUAAAAACACAUAAAAUUACGUACAAGACUGGAAAUGUGCUUAUUUAAUUGAUAUGGG